rnacentral:rRNA from 1 species
GACGAACGCUGGCGGCGUGCUUAACACAUGCAAGUCGAACGGAAAGGCCCUGCUUUUGUGGGGUGCUCGAGUGGCGAACGGGUGAGUAACACGUGAGUAACCUGCCCUUGACUUUGGGAUAACUUCUGGAAACUGGGGCUAAUACCGGAUAGGAGCUCCUGCUGCAUGGUGGGGGUUGGAAAGUUUCGGCGGUUGGGGAUGGACUCGCGGCUUAUCAGCUUGUUGGUGGGGUAGUGGCUUACCAAGGCUUUGACGGGUAGCCGGCCUGAGAGGGUGACCGGCCACAUUGGGACUGAGAUACGGCCCAGACUCCUACGGGAGGCAGCAGUGGGGAAUAUUGCACAAUGGGCGGAAGCCUGAUGCAGCAACGCCGCGUGCGGGAUGACGGCCGUCGGGUUGUAAACCGCUUUCGCCUGUGACGAAGCGUGAGUGACGGUAAUGGGUAAAGAAGCACCGGCUAACUACGUG